CUCAGCAAAAAAAAAAAAAAAAGAAAAAAAGAAAAGAAAAAGAGAGGAUCGAGGAACUGAUCAUGCAUGUAAAAUGCUCAAAACCCAUCUAUUUCUAAUUGCAUCAUGCUAAUUGUGGUCCAUUCAGAUCUCAUCCCAGGAAAGGAAUUGAAGGGUCUAGAUAAGGUUAUAGAUUUUUGACCUAUUUCCUUGCCAAAACAACUUUUUUGCCCUUCUUACAUACAUGUUGCUUAACAAUUUUUCAUGAAGCUAUCUCCUUGUCUCAAAAUAAUUUUGUUGCCCUUCCUACUUAUAAAUUUUCUUUGCAACUUUUCAUGAGGCUAUCCUGAUUUUGAGAAAACAAAACAUAAUAUACUACCCUUAACAGCUAUUUGUUGAUAUGUUGUAUAUUGUUGAUGAGUAUCUUUUCUUUUCCUUUCUUUCUCUUUGUAUGUAUCAUUCUCGAUGCAUCUCUGCUGGUAUGCUUCUCUAUGUGUUUCUGUGUCUUCACUGCUUUUGCAUAUGUAGUCUAUGCUCUACUAAGCACAAGAGUAUUUAGUAAGGAAAUAUGCAUUACUGUCUUAUAAAGACAAAACACACCAAAGAUGAUUUUGUUGGGAGUUUUUAGUCAUUGAUUCCCAUCUAGUCAAAAGUACAAACUUUUACAUUAAUCAUGAUCAUUUAUUUAUGCCAUCUCUGCUGGUUAACUUUCAGGAGAAUUUAUUUAUCCACUUAGUCAUGGAGUGGAAAGGGACUUAAAAAAAAAACAAACCUAUCUCUACACUUUUUGGAUAAAUUCAGAAUCUUAAUAUUUUGUGAUCAUAGUGUUUCAAAGUAAAAUUUAGGAUCAUUUAUUUAGAACUAGAAAGGAACUUGUAUUUGCCUAAAAAAAAAAUGUCACCUCUAUCUUUCUAGGUUGACUCAGAAUCUUAACACUUCACAAUUAUAGUAUUUCCAAAUACAUUUUUUAAGCAAAUUGAAUUUUAUGGCCAUUUGAUCACCAUAAAAGACACUUUAAUAUUUACUUGUUCUUUAUAUCUUUAGAUUUACAUUGAUAUAUCAUUUAGAACUAAAAUAGUAAUUUAUUUGUGACUGUACUACAUAUAUAUGUGAAAUGAUCUAAAUUGACUCCAACUUCACUGCAGAAAUGAAGAACAUGGCUAUGAAAUGGUGAAGCAACAUAAAAGGGAAUGUGAAUGUGUUUAGAUGUCCUGCAAAAUGCAGGUAAAUUAAACCAAAUAAAAUUAACAUCCCAUGACUUUUCAGAAAAUCAAGUUAUUGCUACAUAAUCUGUUACUAAAGUAAGACUAUCUGUCCUUUAUUCUUUUGUGAGUUUAAUACCUAUUCUUACAGUUAAUGGAUGUUAUCUACUAUAUUCUGUAUCUACUAUAUUCUGUACCUUUUGUUAAAGCACUCUAGAGAAUGCUAAAGGAUUACAUAAGUAUUGGUAUAUAAGACUGCCCUCAAGGAACUUAGAAAGCAUUUUGAGUUUUUAGAAUUUAGAUAGCUAUCAGAAUUAGUUUGAUGAAAACAUCUUAAGAAUUAAAAGGCUACUUAUGGGAAAGUAAUAACAACAUCUCAUUGUUCUUCCUGGCAUAAACAAAAGAGAAGCUUUAAAAAGCUUAUAUACAAAUGAAAAAUAGGAUAUGUAAAUCAAACCAAGAUGUACCACUGAUCCAUAGAAGAAUUUAAAAGUUGGAAACAUUCCAGAUCUUUCCUUUCCCUUCCCCCCUUUAUUCAUUUACUUAAAAACUAGAACCAAUCAUCUAAAAUCAAUAUAAGUCUGUACAAGACUGAAAAAGUUGUACACUGCAUACAUUAUCCCAUUAUCCAAAUUAGCCCAUUAUCAAAAGACUUCUGUCGCCUUGUCCAACCAGGAAAUUCUCAUGAAUGUGAUACAGUACCACUGAAAAGAAUCAAAGGAACAACUAAUAAUCUGCUGGAUUUCAUUAAUCCUUGAGAAGCACUCAGCUGGUAUCCUGUUCAUGAGCAUCAUCAGAUGCUUAGAAAUGAAAAGUAGUUUGGAGACCAGCUAGUUCAACCAAUAUCAGAAAAAAUCUCCUUUAUAGCAACCCAGAGUAUUCUUCUAGCCUAGUUUUGAACACUUGAAUGAGAAGAAAUCCAGCAGCUUCCAAGGAUAGUCUGUCCCAUUUUGGGAUAACUCUAAUCAGUACAAAAUUUUUCAUUAUCUUAAGCCUAAAUUUGCCCCUUUGCAAGUAAGGCUCCUUUGCUUUUAGUUCUGUCAACACUUCUUCAGAUGCUGUCCAAGUUAUCUAAGACCUUCUAAAAAUGAGUCUUUAUAGUAAUGGUACUCUAGAUAUAAUCUGAGAAGAUUAGAAUACAAUAAAGUUAUCACCUCCCUUUUACUAGUACUGGACACUAUUCCUCUCUUAAUACACUUAGAUUUUGAGUGCACUUUUGACUCCUGUUGGAUUUAUAACCCAUGAAAGCCCCCAAUCUUUCUGAAAUUAUUUUCUGCGAAGGUAGGGCUCUGCCAUCUCAUGCUUGUGGAAUAAUUUUUUAAUAUAAAUAUUUGAGACUACAUUUAUCCCCACUAAAUUUAAAUUUGAUCCAAAAUUCAGCUUGUUGAAAUCUUCUGAAUCAUAAAUCUUUCCUCUUACAUUGGCUUUCCUAGAUUUAGGGCAUGUUUGAAUUGAUAACUGCAUUUAUGAUGCAUCUUAGGUGGCUCCAUGAGCAAGAUACUAGACCUGGAAUCAAGGAGACUUGUAUUCAAAUACCUCUUCAGACACAUAGUGGCUGUGUGACCCUGUUCAAGGAUCAUAGAAUUAAUUUUCUCAUCUGUAGAAUGGGGAUAUUUUACCUCACAAGGAUUGCUAUGAAGAUUAAAUGAAAUAAUAUUUUACACUGCUUUGAAAAUCUUGAAAAGUCUCUUUUUGGGUUAAGAAUUUGCUUUCCCUUUCCACCCUCAACCUCAACUGUGAAGAUAAUGUGCUCCUUUUCUCAUUUUUUUUUUUUUUUAUGGCAUGCUCAUUAAUGUUCAGAGAAGAAAUUAGUCAGGAUUUUUGAGGGUGAAACUUUGUGUAGAAGGGGAGUUUACACCAGUUCUUGAAGGAAGAGAGGGAUUUUCUAACUGGAGGGAAUGACUAGUGCAGAAGCACAAAUAAGUAAGAUAGAGGUCUCUCUGUGUAACAAAGGGAAGGGUUAGCUAGACUGCAGAGUUAAGGGAGAUUAAUGCACAAUGAUGCUGGAAAGAUUGGUUGCAGAUAACUAGGAAAGGGCUUUAAGAGCUCAGUGGAGAAACUUCUAUUUUAAUCCUAGAGGCAAUAGGAAACCACUGGAAUUUAUUGAAUUGAAGAGUGUGAUCAGAUCUACUGAAGGAAAAUCACUGUCAGUUGUGUGAAAAUUGGACUGCAGCUAAGACACCAUUAUAGUAAUUUGGAAAAGAAGUGAUGAAGGGUUAAUCUAUGGUAAUGUCUAUAAAAGAAAAGGAAGGGUCAGAUUUGAGAGAUCUGUGAAAACAAAAUAUUCAUUGAUCUAAAUCAAUGAUUCAUUUAGGCAUGAUUCACUAGGCAUUUCAGAACAUUUUAGAUUUUGAUUUCUCUUUCCUAUUGCAGAAAUGUAGUUAAUUGUACAGAUAAUAACUUUGAGGUUAUUCUGUUCUCCAAACAGGUUAGCAAAUUGAAUGGCUUAACUUAUUUGGUCAUUUAGCAGCAUAUAAAUGCAGAAUCCAGGAAUGCCCUAAAGGCUCAACUUAGAAGACAUGCUACUGCAUAGUAGAACUGCUUAGAUUGGGGCAGAAGAGGUAAAGCAGGAGAUGGAGUCAUACUGGAUUUGCUGAGGCAGCAUUUGAUACAAAAAAGAACAUCUGCUAAAUCUAAUUGAAAAACUAAAGGUGCUACACAAUUCUUCAACCUAGGAACAUCCAUAAUGGAUCUGUCACCUUAUUACAGUCAUAUGAACUUUGUAAUCAUUUGCUUCUAAAUGUAGCAUUUAAUUGCAAUUGUUAUAAACAUUUCUGAAUGUUCCUGCUACUUAGUAAUGGAGUUAACAAUUUAUUGCAUUAUUAAAAUUUUUAUCCCAAAUGGAAAUUAUACUUUUUUAAAGAAACUGUUUGCAUAAAAG